AACAAACGCUGGCGGCGUGCCUAAUACAUGCAAGUCGAACGAGGUAGCAAUACCUAGUGGCGCACGGGUGAGUAACGCGUGGAUAAUCUGCCUUUGAGUGGGGGAUAACUAGUCGAAAGAUUAGCUAAUACCGCAUAAGACCACAGGAACUGAGGUUCUAGGGGGUAAAGGUUUUUCGCGCAUAGAUGGGUCCGCGUGAGAUUAGCUAGUGGGUGAGGUAACGGCUCACCAAGGCGACGAUCUCUAACUGGUCUGAGAGGAUGAUCAGUCACACUGGAACUGAGACACGGUCCAGACUCCUACGGGAGGCAGCAGUAGGGAAUAUUGCACAAUGGAGGAAACUCUGAUGCAGCGACGCCGCGUGAGUGAUGAAGGCUUUCGGGUCGUAAAGCUCUGUCGCAGGGGAAUAACACAAUGAAUGUACCCUGUAAGAAAGGAUCGGCUAACUUCGUGCCAGCAGCCGCCGUAA
rnacentral:rRNA from 1 species